AAAUCCUUCCCUCCUCAUUACAUAGGAGCACUAGUUCACAGCAGUAACUCAUUCCCCUCGCUCCCUACGUAGUGCACUGCACCUGUGUCUAGGGAGCGUUUUGGGAUUGUUCCAGAAUUCCUCAGUGUUGAGUAACUGAGAGGCUGAAGCGUUGGAAAUGAAAGAUUUCGAACGUGACCACGUCGAAUUUAGACUCCGUUCUGACCACAACGAUUUCUUAAAACUAUUUUAUCUUGUUUGCCAACAAGCAUCUGUGCAUAUAUAUAUGAAAAAGAAGCAACCCUGAGAAGUGCCUGUACAAAACUGCUUUACAUCUUUCAUUCUCCAUGAAGAGUCCAUGUUCCUCCACCUCAGGAAGGAGCUCUCACCAGGAUAUACUGUCGAUGCUGUAGGAGGAUGAGAGUUUUAGUCUCGGGGCGUAGAAGAGAUUCCUGCUUCAUCGUGUUCUCCAGAGAGUGAGGAGGAUAAUGGAUAAGAGAGCCUAAAACACCUAAAAAAUAAAGAAAGGAAAGUAUUUGUAUAUAUUGUAAUGAGUUGUGUGUAUUUAUUCAGUACAGAUAUCAUCAUAAUCAUAAAGUUCUCCUGUCUGGCCACCAGAGGGCGCCCUGAAUCACACAGAACGCCGAUCAUCUACUAGUCAUGUGUAAUCUUUAACAAUGGAAUAUUAGACAGAUCUUAAUAGUUUCUUUUUAUCUUUUUAAAGUUCUUCUUUAUCUUUUUAUAGUUUUAACCAGCGUUUUGUUUUUAGAUUUGAG